UACAGAGGUCUCAAGCGUUGUUCGGAUUCAUUGGGCGUAAAGGGUAUGUAGGUGGCGCCGUAAGUCGGGUGUGAAAUUUCGGAGCUUAACUCCGAAACUGCAUUCGAUACUGCGGUGCUUGAGGACUGGAGAGGAGACUGGAAUUCAUGGUGUAGCAGUGAAAUGCGUAGAGAUCAUGAGGAAGACCAGUGGCGAAGGCGGGUCUCUGGACAGUUCCUGACACUGAGACACGAAGGCCAGGGGAGCAAACGGG
rnacentral:rRNA from 1 species